UGGGGAAUAUUGGACAAUGGGCGAAAGCCUGAUCCAGCCAUGCCGCGUGUGUGAAGAAGGUCUUCGGAUUGUAAAGCACUUUAAGUUGGGAGGAAGGGCAGUAAGCGAAUACCUUGCUGUUUUGACGUUACCGACAGAAUAAGCACCGGCUAACUCUGUGCCAGCAGCCGCGGUAAUACAGAGGGUGCGAGCGUUAAUCGGAAUUACUGGGCGUAAAGCGCGCGUAGGUGGUUCGUUAAGUUGAAUGUGAAAGCCCCGGGCUCAACCUGGGAACUGCAUCCAAAACUGGCGAGCUAGAGUAGGGCAGAGGGUGGUGGAAUUUCCUGUGUAGCGGUGAAAUGCGUAGAUAUAGGAAGGAACACCAGUGGCGAAGGCGACCACCUGGGCUCAUACUGACACUGAGGUGCGAAAGCGUGGGGAGCAAACAGG
rnacentral:rRNA from 1 species